rnacentral:rRNA from 1 species
GGGUAGCGUAACACGUGAGCAACCUUCCGAAAUAUGGGGGAUAGCCGGCCUAACGGCCGAGUAAUACCGCAUACGCUCUCGAUGAGGCAUUUCAUUGAGAGGAAACCUCCGGGGUAUUUCGAGGGGCUCGCGGCCUAUCAGCUAGUUGGCGAGGUAACGGCUCACCAAGGCAACGACGGGUAGCUGGUCUGAGAGGAUGGCCAGCCACAUUGGGACUGAGAUACGGCCCAG